rnacentral:lncRNA from 1 species
GAAAAAUUUUUGAAUCAUCAGAUUACCAUAGCACAACCUUGGAGAAUAAAACUCUUUUGCUCUGAAGCUCAUCUAAUAACCUGAUAUCUCUCAAAUGAAUCUAUCCAAUGACAGGGAAUACCCCAUGUUAAACAGCUGAUUCUUGUUCUGAAUACGUUUAUUAUCUUGUAGUUAGUAAAUAAAUCAAUUGGACCCUUAA